rnacentral:misc_RNA from 1 species
UACGGAGGGUGCAAGCGUUAAUCGGAAUUACUGGGCGUAAAGGGUGCGUAGGUGGUUUAAUAAGUUAUGUGUAAAAGCCCAGGGCUCAACCUUGGAAGGUCAGAUAAGACUGUUAAACUUGAGUAUGGGAGAGGGUAGUGGAAUUUCCGGUGUAGCGGUGAAAUGCGUAGAGAUCGGAAGGAACACCAGUGGCGAAGGCGGCUACCUGGCCUACUACUGACACUGAAGCACGAAAGCGUGGGGAGCAAACAGG